GGUCCGUCCUGGGCGCGCGUCCGGGGGCGGAGACAGCGGCGCGGCAAAGGAGAGGCAGAGAGGUCGAGCAGCUUGCCCGAGGCCGCCCAGCACCCAGAAUGGCAAAGUCCGAGCCCUGCCCUGUGAAAGUGCCCCUGGAUGACAGGUCCGUGGGGCAAACUCUGUCGUGAAGUAAAUGGAGUUUCCAGAGGCCGGACGUUACAGGGAAACGAGCCUUUCCUGCCCGGGAAGCUGCUUUUGCCCAGGAGGGUGGAGAGGAUGGCUGCUGGGUGCCUGCUCCCCUGGCCCCAGUGAGGCUUCCUCUUCCCCCGAAAGGCACCCAGUAUGUCCAGAGGGAACACACCUGUCAGAAGCGGAGUGCCCUUGCUUUGUGGGAAAGAUGGGAGAAUUCACCAUGAGCGUCUGGGCCAGGCACUCGGGCUCCUCCUAAGUGUAGGGAGACUUGCACUGUAUCCCCAGAGGAGGGCUGUGCUUCCUUCCCAGGGCCUGGAGCAUCUCUGCACCACCUGAAGACCCUGCAGUUUCUCCCAUAGGGCAGGGAGGGCCUCCCCCAAGGUGCCUUCCUCUUUAAAACAUUUAUAUUUUUUAAAAUUGUGGUAAAGUACACAUAACAUUAAAUUUAUCAUCUUAACCAUUUUUCCUCUUUCAAAAAAAAUUUUAUUGUGGUUAAAUACAUAUAAAGUUUACCAUUUUAACCAUUUUUAAGCGCACAGCUCAGUGGCUUUAAGUACAUUCACACUGUCAUGCAGCCAGCCCCACCAUCCACCUCCAGAACUUUCCCAUCUUCCCAAACUGAAACUCUGUCCCCAUGAAACACUGACUCCCCAGCCCCUCCCCAGCCCCUGGAACCCACCAUCUACUUCCUGUCUCUGUGGAUGUGACUCCUCUAGGGACCUCCUGUGAGUGGAAUCAGACAGUAUUUGUCCUUCUGUGUCUGGCUUAUUUCACUGAGCAUAAUUAUUCUCCACAUCAGAAAAACAGGGCUGAUCCACAGUUCGGUUUCAGGUGCCCUAGGGAAACAAGCCCUUUCUCGUGGACGUUUGCAAGUCUCCCAGAUGGUCCCUGCAGCAUCCGUGAGACUCUCAUAGUUAGAAACCGUCAGGUGUCCUGGAUCUGCGCUGGUCCUUGAGUCGAAGUCCUGGUUUUUGCGCCUGGACCCGCUCUCAGGUCAGCCUGGCUGAAACAGCCCACACGGACACGGUCAGGUUUCAGCCCGGAGCUUUGCAAAAAGCAAAGAAGUUGUGUCCCACUAAGACUUUUUUCCCACCUUUCCCUGAUUGGAAUGAUCUCUCUGUUAUGAAAUUAUAAUAAUAUAUUUAUAUCAUUUGU